GAUGAACGCUGGCGGCGUGCCUAAUACAUGCAAGUCGAGCGAACAGACGAGGAGCUUGCUCCUCUGACGUUAGCGGCGGACGGGUGAGUAACACGUGGAUAACCCACCUAUAAGACUGGGAUAACUUCGGGAAACCGGAGCUAAUACCGGAUAAUAUCUUGAACCGCAUGGUUCAAUACUGAAAGACGGUUUUGCUGUCACUUAUAGAUGGCUCCGCGCCGCAUUAGCUAGUUGGUAAGGUAACGGCUUACCAAGGCAACGAUGCGUAGCCGACCUGAGAGGGUGAUCGGCCACACUGGAACGGAGACACGGUCCAGACUCCUACGGGAGGCAGCAGUAGGGAAUCUUCCGCAAUGGGCGAAAGCCUGACGGAGCAACGCCGCGUGAGUGAUGAAGGUCUUCGGAUCGUAAAACUCUGUUAUUAGGGAAGAACAAAUGUGUAAGUAACUAUGCACGUCUUGACGGUACCUAAUCAGAAAGCCACGGCUAACUACGUG
rnacentral:rRNA from 1 species